UACGAAGGGGGGCGAGCGUUGUUCGGAAUUACUGGGCGUAAAGGGCGCGUAGGCGGUGUGUCAAGUCAGGCGUGAAAGCCCCCGGGCUCAACCUGGGAACCGCGCUUGAGACUGGCACGCUCGAGUCCGGGAGAGGAUGGUGGAAUUCCCAGUGUAGAGGUGAAAUUCGUAGAUAUUGGGAAGAACACCGAUGGCGAAGGCAGCCAUCUGGACCGGCACUGACGCUGAGGCGCGGAAAGCGUGGGGAGCAAACAGG
rnacentral:rRNA from 1 species